GCGGGGCUGCGCGGUGCGAGAGCCUAUAUCCCCGGGGCCUUAUCGAUCCUGAAGGGAGCUGUCCCUGACCGGGCUCAUGGGCCCGGACAUAUGGCGCCCACCUACUUGUGUAGGGAACCCGGGAUCGAACGCUCCAACGGCCAAGCGGCCCCGCA
rnacentral:other from 1 species